GUCCUGUAGCUCAACUGAAAGCUCCCCUCCUGAAACCAGAUAUGGUAGGAGCAGAAGUUCCAGUUUUAGUUUUGGAAAGGAAGCUAAUGGGCUGAUGUCGAGAAACGGAGUUCUACCGUCAUUGAAAACAACCCAAAGACGUAAAUCACUUAUUCACGUUGGGUCACCGAAACUUGAUCGCCGUAGAAACAGUGAAAGUGAUACUUCUAUAAAAGAAGAAAAAGAAUCUAAGUUAAGAGACAGACGUCGAAAUAAAACAUGGAGACCAUCUUUAUCAGGAAAGCCGAAGGAACUGGAUGAUCUAAUGGGUUUCUCACUGGCCCGUUAGUUUUAAUUCAGACUGUUACUGAAAUGAUGUAUUUUUAUUUGUAUGCUCACCUGUAAGAUAGUAAUCAAGGCUGUCUCGUUAGUCCUAGCACAAAGUUUCUUAAGUUCCCGAUAGUCUACAAAAUCCACAUUGGGACCAUCUCAGGAGUGUGGUUUUAAUUUUUUCUUUUUAUAUUACAGAUUAUUGACAUUUGUUGGCACGAAGUAUUAAUACAACGGUUUCUAUUGUUGGGCGGGUUCUUUUGGUGAAAAAUAAUGCAUAGUCCUGUUCACUUGAUGAUAAAGCCGUUUUAUAUCUUGGACUACGAGUUAUAAACUUACAUAAUUUCAGGAACUAACGAUAAGCCUAACUUCACAAUCAUUUAUUUAUUUGAUAACUUUCUCGUGCACACAGUUUAUCCAUAUCUACUUACUAAACCGACUAACAAACUCGUUAAUCCAUCAGUUAUUCAACCACUGUAACCUACUUACUAAACCGACUAACAAACUCGUUAAUCCAUCAGUUAUUCAACCACUGUAACCUACUUACUAAACCGACUAACAAACUCGUUAAUCCAUCAGUCAUUCAACCACUGUAACCUACUUACUAAACCGACUAACAAACUCGUUAAUCCAUCAGUCAUUCAACUACUGUAACCUACUUACUAAACCGAUUAACAAACUCGUUAAUUCGACAGUCAUUCAACCACUGUAACCUAUUUACUAAACCGACUAACAAACUCGUUAAUCCAUCAGUUAUUCAACCACUGUAACCUACUUACUAAACCGACUAACAAACUCGUUAAUUCGACAGUCAUUCAACCACUGUAACCUACUUACUAAACCGACUAAGCCUUAAUCCCAUCUUGUAUCUCUCAAAUUGUUUGUUAAAACUCUCAAACAAAUUUUAGUCAUUAAGCUACGCACUUAUCACGUGACAUAAAAACUCUUUUUUUUUUUUCCCAAAAACAGUACAAAUAUCAGAAUUACAAAACAUAGCCUACAACACAUAACUUCGGUUUUAUUAACUAAUUCUUGUUUACAUUUUUCAGAUUACCUGCAUGAGAUUUAGUUUAAAAUGUUGACAACCCAGGUUGAUUUCCAUUAAAAGAAUAAACCAUUUCCAGAAGAGGACAAUCAAAUAAGCUCAUCACAAAUCUGAACAGAAAAGCAGAAUAUGAGAGGAUUUUAUAAGUAUCUGUAUAUACUAAUUUUACGUGGAGCUUUGCAUACGCUUUUAAUUGUAUGAUUAUUCUAUGGUUUUGCAACUUUUAAUUUUAUUGGUUAUGCUGAUAUUUAGCAACCUCCAAAAGUUGACGUGAUUGUUUUUUGAUGAAUACUUAUAAAGACUGACAAAAACAACAACAACCAAGCCUAAAAUGUAUCAAGCAGCAUUUUACAAGCUUUCGAAAUGGAGAUUUAAGCUACAACUAUUUAACAGCUAAUACGUUUUCUUUACCAAUAUCUAAGAAGCUGUAAAUGCACAAAAAUAUUGUGAUAAAGAAAGCAGACGAUAUCUCGACUUCUUAUAAAAAUAACUGUAUAUACAGCAUUGAAGGUUUACUGGGGGCAAUAAACGAACACAGAUAAAAAUAAUUUAGAGCUGAAUCAGUAGAUCAGAUAAAAUGAUUGAUCGUAAUGUCAGAGCUUUUGUUUAGUCUGAACGUUAUAUCUUUAGGAAUGUAUCUUAGCUGAAAUGUCAGACCUGUAAAACACUAUUAUUUCUUGGCUUUUAGAGUUUAUAUGGAUAACUUAUAACAACUUGGUUAGAACAAUCUAUUAUUUCUUGGCUUUUAGAGUUUAUAUGGAUAACUUAUAACAACUUGGUUAGAACAAUCUAUUAUUUCUUGGUCUUUGGAGUUUAUAUGGAUAACUUAUAACAACUUGGUUAGAACAAUCUAUUAUUUCUUGGUCUCUGGAGAUUAUAUGAAUAACUUAUAACAACUUGGUUAGAACAAUCUAUUAUUUCUUGGCUUUUAGAGUUUAUAUGGAUAACUUAUAACACUAUGGUUAGAACAGUCUAUUAUCUCUUGGUCUUUGGAGUUUAUAUGGAUAACUUAUAACAACUUGGUUAGAACAGUCUAUUAUUUCUUGGUCUUUGGAGUUUAUAUGGAUAACUUAUAACACUGUGGUUAGAACAGUCUAUUAUUUCUUGGUCUUUGGAUGUUAUAUGGAUAACUUAUAACACUGUGGUUAGAACAGUCUAUUAUCUCUUGGUCUUUGGAGUUUAUAUGGAUAACUUAUAAUAACUUGGUCAGAACAAUCUUUUUUUCUUUGAACAGAGUAAACAGUUUAUUUAGCUAAAUGUGAGGUAAUGACAAGAGUUGUUUUUUCUACUCGGAUCAUUUUGUACGGUAGCUCAUAACAUUACACACAAAAUGUCAAAAUUCACUUAUUAGUUAGACUUCUUCAAAGUUUUGUAAUAAGAAUAUUUUUCUGAGUUUGUUCAAGUAUAAAUACUACUCUUAUGUUAUAUACUGAUUCUGAAGAAUUAUUUUCUCUUUAUUUAUAAAAUACUGAUCUAGAUAAAGUUUAACAAUGAAACGUCAAAAACAGUUAAGUUCUUGUAGAAUUUCAAUUCUAAAAAAGAUAAGGACCUCCCGCUAAAAACAAAAUAUAUUUCGUGCUGUCUGGAUCGUGAAAUCUUAGGUAUAAGGUUCAGUGCUCUUUAUAAAUAAGUGACUUUAUACUUGUGAUAGCAUAUAAAUGUUAAGAAUAAGACUGCCAAAAUUGCCAAGUGACGUGUCGAACGUAUUUCCUGUUAAUACGAUUUAUAUUGUUUCGUAGGAUUUGUGGCCUAUUUGUUUUUAAAGCUGUGUUCGUCAUAUGUUUUUUUAAAGUCCAAUGUUACUUUAAAGAAAGGAAAUAUCGGCUCUGUAUUACGUCAUUGCUACGACACCAUGUUACGUAUGAAGAGUGCUAUUGGAAAUACAUGUUAAGUAUGAAGAGUGCUAUUGGAAAUACAUGUUACGUAUGAAGAGUGCUAUUGGAAAUACAUGUUACGUAUGAGGAGUGCUAUUGGAAAUACAUGUUACGUAUGAAGAGUGCUAUUGGAAAUACAUGUUACGUGUGAAGAGUGCUAUUGGAAAUACAUGUUACGUGUGAAGAGUGCUAUUGAAAAUACAUGUUACGUGUGAAGAGUGCUGUUGGAAAUACAUGUUACGUAUGAAGAGUGGUAUUGGAAAUACAUGUUACGUGUGAAGAGUGCUAUUGGAAAUACAUGUUACGUGUGAAGAGUGCUAUUGGAAAUACAUGU
rnacentral:lncRNA from 1 species